rnacentral:lncRNA from 1 species
UGCAGGGUUCCUGCUCUGCUUCGGAGCAUCUCACAGUGACUUGUCACAACAUACACGGAGUCUUUCGCUUCGUUCGUUUAGGCUGUAUGUUUGUGUGAAUGUUUACUGUUGGUCUGAACUCACUUGUAAGCGGUAACCAGUCCUGUCUUUUAUUAAUAUCCAUGUAUAUAUGCUAGGUAGAUGUGUGUAUUUUACGUGAUGCACAGCACAGAAGAGAUACCUAUAGUUCCAAAUACAUGGAAUGAACUUAAGCUCCAAGGGCAGAAAAAAUUCAAAGUUCAGCUUCUUUUGUUUGAAUGUGUGAAAAGUCAAACUUCAAAUAAUUUAAGAAAGUAUAGAAUGCAAAAAAAAUUUACAAUCUUAAAUGGAAAGUCUAGUGGAACAAACAUUAGGCUUGAACUGAAAUCUCUGCUGUGAGUAUGGUUAUCAUAUCUCUUACCUGAUUCCCAUUAUGUGAGUUCACAUCAUGUGAUAGCUCGACCAGGACAGACUAGGAAAGUCAAAAGUUAUUCGGGUCAGCAAGCUCUCAAAUUGUGCAAGGCCUUUGCAAUUUAAUUACUCCUGGCAGCCUUCAGUUCAUACUAAUAAACUCUGUGAACUACUUGUAACUGACACCUCUGUGAAUUAAUACACUUGUGAUUUAAGGCAGAUUCAUUAAAAAGUCUUAUUGAAUCCAAAAUAAUUUAACCUUUAACACAGGAAACACCAGUGUAAUCCCCCAGCAGUGGAUUGCUUUGACCGUAAGGAGAAAGAUGUUGUUACUCCUAGGUGCCUAGACUAUAGACUAGAAAGUAGAAUGACCCACUUCUUGUCAUCCAGAGGGGUCAGAGGGAAGGAGUGGGGCACAAGUCUCAUGUCAGUCAUUAAGUAUUUUCCCAGGAAUCUGUGGACUUAAAACAAGGGGUAGAACUUGUAGGAUGGAGCAGAAAUCCUUACUCAGAUAAUUUUCAUGAUUUGAAGCACUGCUUGCUUCUAUCCUUAGAAAAUAGCAAGCUAGGGAUAACUUGAUUAAUGAACAUAAUAUUACAUAGCACUUAGGAAAAGAGCAUUAUGUAUUGGUGUUAUUUUUUUUUUAGUCUCCACAAACAUUAAUAACAGCAACAGCAAUGACAUUUAGAUUGCAUUCCAAAGCCUUUUGCAACUAGAAACAAUUUUAAUUUUAUAUCCUCACGAUGACUGAUAAAUUACUAGAGACGAUUUAUUGAAUCCCCAUUUAGACCCAGGAAUGCUGAUACGUAGAGAAUUUGACCAAGUAGCCUGUGGUCUCAGACCUUCCCAAGGUUCUGUACCCUCUCAGUUCUAUUUUAUGUCACAUUUUCCUGUUCUAGCUCUGUGACAUGGCUGUGUUCCUUUAGUGAGAGCCGAUUCAAAGAUGUGGGACCUGCUGGUCAUUUAUUUGGCUUUUUGUCUAUACUUCUUGAAAAGAAUCAAGUCAAUUGGUGAAUGUAUUGAAAUUGAUGACCUAAAAAAGUCUGAGGGACAGAUGCAUGGGUUUUAACACUCAAGUAUUUUAAGUAUAUGGUACCACAAUGACUGUUAAUAAAUGAUUUUCUAUUGUGGUUAUAAGUCUUUAUCAAUCAAGUGUUAACAGGAAUCAGGAAAGAUAGGAAAGGAAUGUAUAAACACAGUAAGGUAGACAGGGCUGUACCAGUGAUAUGAAGAUAAAGAAGUUGAAAAUUUUUGUCAAGUGUUCUCUGCGUAGAGCAAGGGUCAGGUAGGUGAGAUGGACCAAAGAACAAGGAGAGGGUUUUCUUGUGUGGAACACGAUGUAAGCAACAUCACCUCUCACAGUGGCUCGUGAUGAUAUCAUAAGAAAGCGUCCACAUUUCCUGACUAUUAGAAAGUAUUGGGAAGGUCCCAAGUCACAAGCCUGGCUCUAUGACAAUACAGUUGUGGGUAUUGAUGAACUUAUAGAAGAAACAUGUUCCCCCUUGCGAUAGGUGUUUGCAUUUUGGCAGAAGGUACUUUACCCAGAAAAGUUGAAAUAUGAGAUAGAUAGCUAAUACUAUUUGCGAGUUUCUCAGCGAAAUAUUUUUAAAAUGUAGAAAAGACUUGCUGUCAUUCAUGCAAGGUGUUUUCAUCUUAGAAAACUACUCAUAGCUUUUAGAAGCAGCCCGUCCCUACCAAAUCAAAUGACCACGAACAGGAGAGACAGCUCCUCCUUACCAACUCCUCCCUACCAUGAACAAAAAAUAAACAGAGCAAUUACACAAGUAUUCUAGAAAAAGAGUUGCCAAAUCACAUUCUAAAAAGUUAGCGUUCCUUCCUUCCUUUCUUUUACAGUAUAUGCGCUUAUUACACAACAUUUAUAUGAAUGUUUGCUGUCCUCAAGGAAUGUUGAAUGCUAUAGAUGAACAAAAGUUGUGACCCAUGAAGCUGUAACUUUCUGGAGAAAGAAACCAAACAUGUGUAGAGUUGUUAAAAACAUGUACCUUUGGGCCACUGGAACUGAAUACCACACAUAAGAUGUCUAAUAAACAAUAAGCUUUCUCUCUCAUAGCCUUGGAGAUUAGGAAAUUCAAGGUCAAGAUGUCAGUAGAUUUGGUGUUUCAUGAGUCGACUUUCUAGUUUACAGAUAGCUUUCUGUCUCAUAUUCUUCCUUGGUAGAAAGUGCACAGGAGCUUUCUGUGGUCCCUUUUCUAAAAGCAGUGACCUCAUUCUUGAAGGUCACGUGCUUAUGACCUCAUCAACAUGCUCUCCCCAUCUCUCUGGGCACUAGGAUCUAAACGUUUGAACUUUGAGGAAACAUAAAACAUUCAGUCUAGAAAAGACAUCAAAGCAUCUAUUAUCAGAUAAUGUCAUAGGAAAGUUACUGUUAGAUAGAAUCAUCAGAAAAGACUCUCUGAGGAUGACAUUUGAGUUGUCUAUGAGAAUGAGG